rnacentral:rRNA from 1 species
UGCGCAGGCGGGGAAAUAAGUCAGUGGUGAAAAGCUGCCGCUUAACGGUAGUCUUGCCAAUGAUACUGUUUUUCUUGAGUAUGGUUAAGGUAGGCGGAAUGUGCAGUGUAGCGGUGAAAUGCAUAGAGAUUGCACAGAAGGCCGAUUGCGGAGGCAGCUUACUGAGCCAUAACUGACGCUGAGGCACGAAAGCGUGGGGAUCGAACAGGAUUAGAUCCCUGGUAGUCC